AGUGAACGCUGGCGGUAGGCCUAACACAUGCAAGUCGAACGGCAGCACAGUAAGAGCUUGCUCUUACGGGUGGCGAGUGGCGGACGGGUGAGGAAUACAUCGGAAUCUACUUUUUCGUGGGGGAUAACGUAGGGAAACUUACGCUAAUACCGCAUACGACCUACGGGUGAAAGCAGGGGAUCUUCGGACCUUGCGCGAUUGAAUGAGCCGGUGUCGGAUUCGCUAGUUGGCGGGGUAAAGGCUCACCAAGGCGACGAUGCGUAGCUGGUCUGAGAGGAUGAUCGGCCCAACUGGAACUGAGACACGGUCCAGACUCCGACGGGAGGAAGCAGUGGGGAAUCUGCCGCAAUGGGCGAAAGCCUGAAGGGGCAACGCCGCGUGAGUGAUGAAGGUCUUCGCAUCCUAAAACUCUGUUAUGAGGGAAGAACAAAUGUGUAAGUAACUAUGCACGUCUUGACGGUACCUAAUCAGAAAGCAACGGCUAACUACGUG
rnacentral:rRNA from 1 species